rnacentral:rRNA from 1 species
ACGGCGAGUGAAGAGGGAAAAGCCCAAAUUUGUAAUCUGGCUCUUUUAUAAGGGUCCGAGUUGUAAUUUUGAGAACUGUUUUCUGUGUUGGACCAUGUACAAGUCUGUUGGAAAACAGCAUCAUUGAGGGUGAUAAUCCCGUACAUGAUAUGGACUACCAGUGCAAUAUGAUACAGUCUCUAAGAGUCGAGUUGUUUGGGAAUGCAGCUCAAAGUGGGUGGUAAAUUCCAUCUAAGGCUAAAUAUAGGUGAGAGACCGAUAGCAAACAAGUACCGUGAGGGAAAGAUGAAAAGAACUUUGGAAAGAGAGUUAACAGUACGUGAAAUUGUUAAAAGGGAAACAUUUGAAGUUAGACUUGUUAUUAUUGGUUCAGCUUCUUUUUUUUAAUUAGGAGUCUAUUCCAAUGGUUGACAGACCAGCAUCAAUUUUUGAGUGUUAGAUAAGGGUCUUGAGAAUGUGGCAACUUUGGUUGUGUUAUAGCUCUUGGCUUGAUAUAAUGCUUAGGAUUGAGGAACGCAGUGAGC